rnacentral:tRNA from 1 species
GGCGCGUUCGUAUAAUGGCUAUUACCUCAGCCUUCAAAGCUGAUGAUUCCGGUUCGACUCCGGAACGCGCCUCCA